rnacentral:rRNA from 1 species
CAGUAGCCGCGGUAAUACGAGGGGGGCAAGCGUUGUUCGGAAUUAUUGGGCGUAAAGGGUGCGUAGGCGGUUUGGCAAGUUUGGUGUGAAAUCUUCGGGCUCAACUCGAAGUCUGCAUCGAAAACUGCCGGGCUUGAGUAUGGGAGAGGUGAGUGGAAUUUCCGGUGUAGCGGUGAAAUGCGUAGAUAUCGGAAGGAACACCUGUGGCGAAAGCGGCUCACUGGACCAUAACUGACGCUGAUGCACGAAAGCUAGGGGAGCAAACAGGAUUAGAUACCCCAGUAGUCCCUGUCUCUUAUAC